GCCUCGGUAACUCAGCCUGGGAGAGUGCACGGCUGAAGACCGUGAAGUCGAGGGUUCAAAUCCCUCCCGAGGCA
rnacentral:tRNA from 2 species